rnacentral:rRNA from 1 species
CUCUCUGUGACUCCUACGGGAGGCAGCAGUGGGGAAUAUUGCACAAUGGGGGAAACCCUGAUGCAGCCAUGCCGCGUGUGUGAAGAAGGCCUUCGGGUUGUAAAGUACUUUCAGCAGUGAGGAAGGUUCAUGCGUUAAUAGCGUAUGGAUUUGACGUUAGCUGCAGAAGAAGCACCGGCUAACUCCGUGCCAGCAGCCGCGGUAAUACGGAGGGUGCGAGCGUUAAUCGGAAUUACUGGGCGUAAAGCGCAUGCAGGCGGCCUGUUAAGUCAGAUGUGAAAGCCCGGGGCUUAACCUCGGAAUUGCAUUUGAAACUGGCAGGCUAGAGUCUUGUAGAGGGGGUAGAAUUUCAGGUGUAGCGGUGAAAUGCGUAGAGAUCUGAAGGAAUACCAGUGGCGAAGGCGGCCCCCUGGACAAAGACUGACGCUCAGAUGCGAAAGCGUGGGGAGCAAACAGGAUUAGAUACCCUGGUAG